rnacentral:lncRNA from 10 species
CCCCAUCAAAGUGAAGGGAGGCAGUGCUGAUGGGAGAUGUAAUUAACAGUUCAUUUAGCCUGUGCUGACAGUGAGAACUGGAUGGCAAUUUGCUCUGCAUGUAGAAAACGUGCAUAAGAUGACUAAACCUGGGAUCUCUAGAUUAGUAUUUCCUGAGGUGCUGUUUCUAUUAUAAAUAGAACAUAAGAACUAGGAAAAGAACCAGAAACAGCAUAUAAAGAAGGCAAUACUGCUAAGAAAGAGAUUUGAUUAUUAAAGUGAUACAUAUGAAGAUUUUGGAAAUACAUUAACGAAAAUUUAUGUCGGAGACUUGGCAAGUUCAGGUGAUAAUGCAAGCAAUUCAGUACUUCGGCGGGAAAGAUGAGGCAAGAGGCUGAAGGAUCCUGAUAUUUAGUCUUACAGUUCAUGUUAAGAUAUUUGGGGUACAUGGAAUGAUGGGAUCAGGUAGAAGAAAGGGUAAGAUCGUUUCUAUUAUGAUUUUUUUCUGCCCUAUGUAUAAGUUAGACAUGUCUAUCUUAAUUUUCAAACAUACAGUUUUUAAAAAGUAUUUAUUGAUUAUUAAUUUCUAGCUCAAUGGCGUAGAGAUCAGAGAACAUAUUCCACAUGAUUUCAAUCUUUGAAGUUUUUCGAGACUUGCCCUAUGAUCUAGCUUGCAAUCAAUUUUUGUACAUUAGCUUUCUGUAUCUGAAAAAGGAUGUCUUCUGCAUUUAUCAGGCGCAGUGUUCUA